rnacentral:SRP_RNA from 1 species
GCUGGUGGGGUGGUGCAUGUCUGUAGUUAGAUCCUUAGAAGACUGAAGCAGGAGGAUCACUUGAGUCCAGGAGUUCCGGGCUAUAGUGUGUUACGCUGAUUGGAUGUCUGUAAUAAGUUUGGCAUCGAUAUGGUGACCUCUGGGUGGGGCAUGGGAGGGUACCAAACUUCCUAAGGAGGGGUGAACUGGCCCAGGUCAGAAAUGGAGCAGUCAAAACUCCUAUGCUGAUCAGAUGCCCACCCAAUAGGAUAGGACUCUGCCUAGUACACAUGCAGAGGCAGAAAGCUUCA